UGCACCCUGCUGGCUGGGUAGCUCUCAGCUGGGAAUAAUGAGCUGUGCUGAGCUCAUAAAGCCUCCAGCCCCAGGGAUUGUGGUUUAGUUGGAGUUGUGCUGCAUGGUGUUGGGUGAAGUGUGCUGUUUUUACUGAUCUUUGUGUUGGAAGAAAGUAGCACAGAGAUGUGGCUCUCCAAGCUCAUAAGGUACCUAACAACAGGAGCGUGAGAUGUGUGGCAUCUGGUGCUGUUUACCCCAAGCCACCCGCUGCUCCCUGGAGGAAAUGUUUGGUUUUGAAGAAACACUUCUGCAGCAUUGAGUGAAAUGAGUGGGUGAAAACCAUCAGUGACAUGUGAGAGAACAGGCGUUGUGCUGGUGCAAGGUGGAAGCUUACUUCUCUGUCACUUGAUCCUUGGAGGCUGGGAAACAACUUGUGUUGCACAAUGGUUUCUGUGAAGCCUAGGUCACUGAAAGAUGAGGAAGCCCUCUGCUGCAGCAUCUGUAAUCCAGCUUGCUCUUUCUGACUUCUCUUGAGAAGCUUGCUUCCUUAGACAGAAAACAGUAUCUAACGUUCUGCUUAUGUUCCUGGAUACUAGUAUUCUUAUUCUAACAUGGCACAAGUAAUCCAGGAUUGAAAAACAAGCAAAAAGCCAUCACAGGAUAAUGCCCAAGAACACAUGCAUUCAGUAGUAAGCAGGACCACAGGAAUGCUUUAGAAGCAUAACAGCGAAAGAUGCUCUUAUUUAUCUAUUUGUUUUUUCCUGGAGAAAAAAUUUACAAAGCCUAUGCCUUUAUCAAUCAUUUAUUUCUUCUGGAAUAAAACAAGCUCCCAACAAUCUUGCAUCUAUCUAUGAAAGUCCCUGUGCAUGUUCUCCAGCCAGGAUUUACAGUCCCCAGUAGAUUCCCAGCACCAGCGUACUGUUCCUUAAAUGAAUCUUUAAGGGCUCAUUUCCUUAGUUAUAUUCUCAUUUUAUUUAAUUACACUUCCUGAGGAGAUGUCAUUCUAUUUUAUGUUUAAGGCUGCUGUAUGCAUGUGAAACAAGUGGUAGACAGAACUGGUAAAAAUCGAUUGUGUGAAGCUUUUUCUGACUGAGAUGAAGCUUUGACUGUAUCAUCAUCAUAUCUGGAAAACACACUUCUCCAACAGUGUUUUAUUUGUUUUGGUUUGAAUUAUUUGGAGCUGUCAGAAAAAAAAAAAAAAACAGUAGGAGAAAAGAAAAUUCUUAUCUUUGUUGGAAGUAAUGCCUUCGUUUAUUUUAGGCUAUACUGUCUACAAAAUUUCCUGAGGUUUCUUCUGAAAUCAAGAUCUCAGAUCUUUGAGGAGCAUUACAUCUAGUUCCCCAGGGUCCAGGAUUCUGUCUGAAUGGGAGUUCAGUGUCAGAAGGGGGGUAAGGGAAAGCAGAAGGUGUUCUCGGUAUUUCUGAAAUGCCUAAUUUUUCUUCUUGUGACUGUUCUUUCUAUUUCUGUAAGGCUGUAGCUUAGCCCUCCUUGUGUUAAUUACAAGUGUCACUGCUUCCCUGGUUUCUGAAGUGCAUCUCAGCAGGGAUACAAGGCCAGGGUUUGUGCAGUAAACAUGUUAUGCUUUUAUCGUUGUAGCCAGGUCUAGAGAUUGUGUAGUGAUAGUCUGUAUAUCAUCGCUGACGUUACAUGCAAAAGUGGCUGAAAAUCAGAAGUUAAAAAAAAAAA